AUCUUGUGUUGUUGAGGCUGAGGACUGACUUGGGUUCUGAGACUCCCUGUCCCGGACCGCAGUGUUAAAAGGAUCUGAACAAAGUCUGCUCAAAUCUCCUGCUGUGAACCAGCAGAAUUUUUGAACAGAGACUGUCUCGCUCUGUCACCCAGGCUAGAGUGCAGUGGUGCUAUCAUAACUCACUGGAGCCCUGAUCUAGGCUCAAACCAUCCUCCCGCCUCAGCCUCUCAAGUAGCUGGGACUAAGGUUUCUUCACAUAUAAAAAUCUAUUGUAAAAAUACGGAAAAGAAUGGCAGCGGAAACGCAGACACUGAACUUUGGGCCUGAAUGAUAUGUUUGGACCCCGAAUAUGGAAUUCUCAUGGAAUUUUGAGAUCCAUCACAUUGUAGUGUGGCUUCCCCCCCCCCCUUCCUUUUUCCCCAAAGUUGGUGAUUGAAGAACCUCUCUUCAGUGGCAUCAAUAAUAAUAAUUACUUUUUCUAUUCAAACCUCGGGCAACCCCUUUGGUAAUAUCAGAAGCAGUAUC
rnacentral:sRNA from 1 species